ACAAGGCAUUUUGCAGGCUGAAGUGGAGAAAAGACAGUACUCUCUUAUUCCAUUCACAAAAGCCAACUGGAUGGAAGGAUGUAUCUGUUGUGAGGAUAAGGUGGAAAGGAGCAGAAUCAUGUAAGCCACCUUAAGUUCCUAGGAAGGAAGGACGGAUGGAUGGACGGACGGAUCCUGCCCUAUUCAUCAAGUCCCUCACUGAAGACCUCUGAGCAAAGGUUAUCUGUGUGCUUUGACUCCAUGGAAUUGAGCUGGAACAGAAGAAGGCAAGCAAUUAAAAAUCCCACAUCCAUUUCAGUUGCAUGGCUGAAAUAAGACAAGUUGGACCUGCAACCAUGUUGUGGUAGACCUCAUACCUAACAGGGAAUACUGACUUACUCCAGCCAGCCUAUUUUCCAGAAUAAUCUACUGAUGCUGGAACAAUUGAACAUCUUUGUUUAUAAAGCCGCAUAACAUGCUUGCAGAAAGGUGUUUUGUUUUUAUUCCAAGGUGGAGUUUUGUGUUAUGCCGAGCAACCAGCAAGUGAAGAGGAACAUGGCAAGACAUUGCAAAGUCCAAAACAAAACUGUUACAAUGCCUGGCAACCUUGGAUCAGUUUUAUGGAAAUAAUAUGCAAUUUGGAUCAAGA